GCGAAGCGCGUGAGGGAUGGUAGUGGAAAUCCUUUUUAUUUUUUUUGUUGAAAAUUAUAUUUGGAAAACCAAAGUUCUAAAAAAUAAAAAGAUUGUAAUGGACAGCCCGACCCGAG
rnacentral:sRNA from 1 species